CGGGGGGGGCAAGCGUUGUUCGGAAUUACUGGGCGUAAAGGGCUCGUAGGCGGCCAACUAAGUCGGACGUGAAAUCCCCAGGCUCAACCUGGGAACUGCGUCCGAUACUGGAUGGCUUGAAUCCGGGAGAGGGAUGCAGAAUUCCAGGUGUAGCGGUGAAAUGCGUAGAUAUCUGGAGGAAUACCGGUGGCGAAGGCGGCAUCCUGGACCGGCAUUGACGCUGAGGAGCGAAAGCCAGGGGAGCAAACGGGAUUAGAUACCCCGGUAGUCCUGGCCCUAAACGAUGAAUGCUUGGUGUAACGGGUAUCGAUCCCUGUUGUGCCGAAGCUAACGCAUUAAGCAUUCCGCCUGGGGAGUACGGUCGCAAGGCUG
rnacentral:rRNA from 1 species